rnacentral:rRNA from 1 species
UACAGAGGGUGCAAGCGUUAAUCGGACUUACUGGGCGUAAAGGGCGCGUAGGUGGUUAUUUAAGUGAGAUGUGAAAGCCCCGGGCUUAACCUGGGAAUGGCAUUUCAUACUGAAUAGCUAGAGUAUAGAAGAGGAAAGUGGAAUUUCCGGUGUAGCGGUGAAAUGCGUAGAUAUCGGAAAGAACAUCAGUGGCGAAGGCGGCUUUCUGGUCUAAUACUGACACUGAGGCGCGAAAGCGUGGGUAGCAAACAGG